UACGUAGGGGGCAAGCGUUGUCCGGAUUUAUUGGGCGUAAAAGGCUUGUAGGUGGCCACGCCAAGUCGGAUGUGAAAUCUCCCGGCUCAACUGGGAGGGGUCAUUCGAUACUGGCGGGCUCGAGGCCGGUAGGGGGAAGUGGAAUUCCCGGUGUAGUGGUGGAAUGCGUAGAUAUCGGGAGGAACACCAGUGGCGAAGGCGGCUUCCUGGACCGGUUCUGACACUGAGGUGCGAAAGCGUGGGGAGCAAACAGG
rnacentral:rRNA from 1 species